rnacentral:rRNA from 1 species
GCGGCAACAGCUCAAAUUUGAAAUCUGGCCCCAGGCCCGAGUUGUAAUUUGCAGAGGAUGUUUCUGGCGAGGUGCCUUCCGAGUUCCCUGGAACGGGACGCCAUAGAGGGUGAGAGCCCCGUACGGUUGGUCGCUAAGCCUCUGUGAAACUCCUUCGACGAGUCGAGUAGUUUGGGAAUGCUGCUCUAAAUGGGAGGUGUACGCCUUCUCAAGCUAAAUACCGGCUAGAGACCGAUAGCGCACAAGUAGAGUGAUCGAAAGAUGAAAAGCACUUUGAAAAGAGGGUUAAAUAGUACGUGAAAUUGUUGAAAGGGAAGCGCUCUUGACCAGACUUGCGCCGGUUGAUCAUCCACCGUUCUCGGUGGUGCACUCUGCCGGCUCAGGCCAGCAUCAGUUCGGCCCGGGGGAUAAAGGCUUCGGGAAUGUGGCUCUCUCCGGGGAGUGUUAUAGCCCGUUGCGUAAUACCCUGGGCCGGACUGAGGUUCGCGCAUCUGCAUGGAUGCUGGCGUAAUGGUCAUCAGUGACCCGUCUUGAAACACGGACCAAGGAGUCGUCUUCGUAUGCGAGUGUUCGGGUGUCAAACCCCUACGCGUAAUGAAAGUGAACGUAGGAGAGAGCUUCGGCGCAUCUCCGACCGAUCCUGAUGUUCUCGGAUGGAUUUGAGUAAGAGCAUACGGGGCCGGACCCGAAAGAAGGUGAACUAUGCCUGUAUAGGGUGAAGCCAGAGGAAACUCUGGUGGAGGCUCGCAGCGGUUCUGACGUGCAAAUCGAUCGUC